GACAGAGGGUGCAAACGUUGUUCGGAAUUACUGGGCGUAAAGCGCGUGUAGGCGGCCAUGCAAGUCGGAUGUGAAAGCCCUCGGCUCAACCGGGGAAGUGCACUCGAAACUGCAAGGCUAGAGUCUCGGAGAGGAUCGUGGAAUUCCUGGUGUAGCGGUGAAAUGCGCAGAUAUCAGGAAGAACACCCGUGGCUAAGGCGGCUCUCUAGUACGUGACUGACGCUGAGACGCGAAAGCGUGGGGAGCGAACAGG
rnacentral:rRNA from 1 species